rnacentral:rRNA from 2 species
CGAGUUCUCGUUGAUGAUCGGUGCUUGCACCGAGAUUCAACAUGGAACGAGUGGCGGACGGGUGAGUAACACGUGGGUAACCUGCCCUUAAGUGGGGGAUAACAUUUGGAAACAGAUGCUAAUACCGCAUAGAUCCAAGAACCGCAUGGUUCUUGGCUGAAAGAUGGCGUAAGCUAUCGCUUUUGGAUGGACCCGCGGCGUAUUAGCUAGUUGGUGAGGUAAUGGCUCACCAAGGCGAUGAUACGUAGCCGAACUGAGAGGUUGAUCGGCCACAUUGGGACUGAGACACGGCCCAAACUCCUACGGGAGGCAGCAGUAGGGAAUCUUCCACAAUGGACGCAAGUCUGAUGGAGCAACGCCGCGUGAGUGAAGAAGGCUUUCGGGUCGUAAAACUCUGUUGUUGGAGAAGAAUGGUCGGCAGAGUAACUGUUGUCGGCGUGACGGUAUCCA